rnacentral:rRNA from 1 species
UACGUAGGGGCCGAGCGUUGUCCGGAGUUACUGGGCGUAAAGCGCGCGCAGGCGGCUCGUCAAGCCUGACGUGAAAUCCCCGGGCUCAACCCGGGAACUGCGUCCGAGACUGGCAGGCUCGAAUCCGGGAGAGGGAUGUGGAAUUCCAGGUGUAGCGGUGAAAUGCGUAGAUAUCUGGAGGAACACCGGUGGCGAAGGCGGCAUCCUGGACCAACACUGACGCUGAGGAGCGAAAGCCAGGGGAGCAAACGGG